GUGAUGAACCAGUUUGAUUUCUGCACAAUGCAACUAAACUAUACCCAGCUGUAAUGAGGAACUGGGAUCCUUGAGAAAACCUGGAAAAUUAUUGACCUUACAGGUUCCAAGAGCAUCUGGUUCCCUAAAAUCAAAAUAUAAAGACACACUGAGACCUGUGCACAUCACUGCAUGCUGCACUUUUUAAUUCAUUCCCCCAGUAGCUUAAGAUACUAUAUAAACCUGCAGCCUAGACCAUUAGUGGAAUUAGUGAGAGACCAGUAGUCUAUUGGAGGGUAAAACCAGUUGAAACUGGUCUGGUGUCUACACGGUGGCCCAAGACGAACACACUACAGAGCAAGUAACAACAUCCUCAACGAUCGGGCCUUAUCACGCCGCCAUCUGUCUUCACUGAGGGUGUGUAAUGUGCAUGUAUGUACGUGUGUUGAGGCAUUUUGUCAUCGCCUAAAAACUGACUACAGAAGCUUUACAAAAAAAAUCAUGAAAAUACUGGCCAGCAAGGCGGCAGAUAUAAUUGGCAUGUCUGAACACACACACACAAACAAUGAUCCUAAACAGCCCCAUUAUAGUCCCAUAAUAUAAACCCACCCUGGCUGCAUGCCUACAAAAAGCCUCCACACGGAUCAACAGCAGCACAGUUUGCAGAGCUGCAGCCCAGAUCUUUGAGAAGACAAACCCAGUGAGAAUAUUCAAGAUGCUCUGCUCCAGAUGUGCGCUUCCACUGCUUGCUCUAUACAUCCUCUUAGAGCAGAUAUCUGCAGCUGUUAUACAGAAAAAGAACAAAAGGGAGGUCAUCUGGCCAGACCACGAUGUCUUUUCCCACCUCUCAGAUCCCUCUGACACAGGAGACCUGUCUGUGGGCGAUGCAGGCGACAUACGGAGGGGUGUGGAGGAUAACUCAGAGGCCACUGUGCUGCCUGUUUCCACUCAGAACCAGAACCUGCCUAACCGUAAAGCCAACGAUAAGAGG